rnacentral:rRNA from 1 species
CCUUAUACCNUUUUGAUACUGUUUUCUAGAGGGCAAAAGAUGUUAGUAGAAUUUCAUGUGUAGCGGUGAAAUGCGUGGAGAUAUGAAAGAAUACCAAAAGCGAAGGCAACUAACAUGUUUGUUCCUGACGUUGAGGCAUGAGAGCAUGGGUAGCAAAUAGGAUUAGAUACCCUAGUAGUCCAUAGCUGUAAACGAUGAGUGCUAGAUGUUUCAUGAGAAGUAUCGAAGCUAACGCGUUAAGCACUCCACCUGGGGAGUACGCACGCAAGUGUAAAACUCAAAGGAAUUGACGGGAACCCGCACAAGCGGUGGAACAUGUGGUUUAAUUCGAAGAAACGCGAAGAACCUUACCAAGACUUGAAAUUUUUCGCAAUGUUAUAGAAAUAUAACGGAGGUUAACGAUCNNCNNNUGGUGCAUGGCUGUCGUCAGUUCGUGUCGNGGGNNNAAANNANAAGUCCUCUAACGAACGCAACCCUUGUCGCUAGUUGCUAACAUUAAGUUGAGUACUUUAGCGAGACUGCCGGUGUAAACCGGAGGAAGGUGAGGAUGACCUCAAGUCCUUAUGCCUCUUACGUCUUGGGCUACACACGUGUUACAAUGGCCAAUACAAAGAGAUGCAAAUGUGUGAACAUGAGCAAAUCUCAAAAGCUGGUCUCAGUUCGGAUCGAAGUCUGCAACUCGACUUCGUGAAGUCGGAAUCGCUAGUAAUCGCAAAUCAGCAACGUUGCGGUGAAUACGUUCUCGGGUUUUGUACACACCGCCCGUCAAACCACGAAAGUUGAUAGUACUGGAAGGUGAUAUCCUAACCAUUUAUGGAGGGAAUCAACCAAGGUAAGAUCGAUAAUUGGGGUUAAGUCGUAACAAGGUAAC